GGAAUUUCCAGCGGAACCAGAAGUGGAUCAUCGUGGAUAUAGACUAAUCUGUUGGUGACUGUUAGAGCGCUCUUCUUUUCACCACUAAAUAGUGAUGCAACACAAUGUGUGAAGUUAUAGCUUAGGCGUCUGUUAGCAUAUUUGCAGAGUAAGUAUUGGGUUGUAUGCCUUCUUCAUUUUCUGUCCAAUUUGACCUUUUACAACUCCAUAAUGCAAGAAGGAUGUGGGUCAUCAUUUUGGGCUCUUGCCACAACUGGUGUCAGCAAAUACGUGCAGAAAUGGGUAAAUCAAGAUGGCAAAGAUGACAGCAAGUCUACAGUAUAUCCUCAUAUUAGAGCACAUUGGUAGUCGGCCCCAUCUGGGAUGUGACUGUGAUUGUACAUGCUGUAGCAGCAGACCCUGCUGUUCUUCCACUAUAACCCAUAUAGUAUGACACGAAGACAAAGAAAGCAAGGGGAGUGGGCACCAUCAGAAAAUUAUAUUUGCUUCAUUGCAGGAAAAAAAAAAAGCCCAUUGUAUUUUUUCUUUAAGGCCCUUCUUUCAGUUCACUUUCAGUCUCAACUGUAUAUAAAUGAGUUUCUCAAACGCAACAAAUUUGUUUAAUAGAAUUCAACAUCCUAUUUUGAGAGAUUUUCUGUUUGCCAAACAGAUGAUAAAGGUGUUGGAUUUUGUUUUUAGAAGAUGGAUGCAAAUAGCACAAUAGGUUGCAUAGGGUUUCUUUUAUAUCUACAAUAACCGGGAUUAAUGAAAACAACGAGCGACUAACAUCUUUGUCUCUUAAUACUGUAGGUUGUUGAGUUCAAGUGUAAAUGGUUUAUUAUGUGGUUUAUAUAAUCUGGCUUUUCGCAUCCCGUUAAAGGAAGGAGGGUGUAACUUUGGUUUUGGGGGAUAUUUAUGAUUUUGUGUACAUGUGGAAGUAUUGAAGACGUUUGUGCUGUUUAAUAAAUCCUCUACUGAUUAUUGA